AAUCAACGCUGGCGGCGUGCCUCAGACAUGCAAGUCGAACGAUUAAAGCUCUCUUCGGAGAGUGUAUAGAGUGGCGCACGGGUGAGUAACACGUAAGUAAUCUACCUUCGAGUGGGGAAUAACACCGAGAAAUCGGUGCUAAUACCGCAUAAUGCAGCGGCAUCGCAAGAUGACAGUUGUUAAAGAUUUAUCGCCUGAAGAGGAGCUUGCGGCAGAUUAGCUAGUUGGUAAGGUAAUGGCUUACCAAGGCUACGAUCUGUAACCGGUCUAAGAGGACGGUCGGUCACACUGACACUGAAUAACGGGUCAGACUCC
rnacentral:rRNA from 1 species